rnacentral:lncRNA from 1 species
GAACACACACACAGAUAGACAUCCCAUGUGGUUCCACUUUAAACAAACUGCAACUGAAAGCAACACUGCAGUCAGUGUAUUCUAAUCUGGAGCAGGGCAGGUGGUGUAACUGUCUAACGAGACCCAUAGCGUGUUACAUGCUAAGCUAACACAAAAACACAUUCUCUCAGUAACCUGACCAGGUAAAUGAAGACGGUGUGUUCAGUACGUGACAGGUGUGUUCAGUAAAUGACAGGUGUGUUCAGUAGACGACAGGUGUGUUCAGUAAAUGACAGGUGUGUUCAGUAAGUGACAGGUGUGUUCAGUAAGUGACAGGUGUGUUCAGUACGCGACAGGUGUGUUCAGUAAGUGACAGGUGUGUUCAGUACGUGCCAGGUGUGUUCAGUAAGUGACAGGUGUGUUCAGUACAUGACAGGUGUAUUCAGUAAGUGACAAGUGUGUUCAGUAGACACCAAGUGUGUUCAGUAAGUGACAGGUGUGUUCAGUAAGUGACAGGUGUGUUCAGUAGACACCAAACGUGUUCAGUAAGUGACAGGUGUGUUCAGUAGACACCAAACGUGUUCAGUAAGUGACAGGUGUGUUCAGUAGACACCAAACGUGUUCAGUAAGUGACAAGUGUGUUCAGUAGACACCAAGUGUGUUCAGUAAGUGACAGGUGUGUUCAGUAAGUGACAGGUGUGUUCAAUAAGUGACAGGUGUGUUCAGUACGUGACAGGUGUGUUCAGUACGUGACAGGUGUGUUCAGUAAGUGACAGGUGUGUUCAGUACGUGACAGGUGUGUUCAGUACGUGCCAGGUGUGUUCAGUACGUGACAGGUGUGUUCAGUACGUGACAGGUGUGUUCAGUACGUGACAGGUGUGUUCAGUACGUGACAGGUGUGUUCAGUAGAUGACAGGUGUGUUCAGUAAGUGACAGGUGUUUUCAGUACGUGACAGGUGUGUUCAGUACGUGCCAGGUGUGUUCAGUAAGUGCCAGGUGUGUUCAGUACGUGCCAGGUGUGUUCAGUAAGUGACAGGUGUGUUCAGUACGUGCCAGGUGUGUUCAGUAAGUGACAGGUGUGUUCAGUACGUGCCAGGUGUGUUCAGUACGUGCCAGCCACACUCGUUGCUGACAGGUGUAUAAAACCGAGCACACCGCCAUGCAAUCUCCAUAGACAAACAUUGUUAGUAGAAUGGCUCGUACUGAAGAGCUCAGUGACUUUCAACGUGGCACCAUCAAAGGAUGUCACCUUUCCAACAAGUCAGUUUGUCAAAUUCCUACCCUGCUAGAGCUGUCCCGGGUCAACUGUAAGUGCUGUUUGUGAAGUGGAAACGUCUAGGAGCAACAACGGCUCAGUCGGGAAGUGGUUG